CGCGCAUUGCACUCUUGGGACUUCCUGAGAGUAUG
rnacentral:rRNA from 1 species